CUCCCAGCUUGUUUAAAGCAUUCAGGAGGAAGAUGUUGCACUUGUUGCAAGAAUAGGCCCAUUCUGACUUUUUUUUGUAUGAGUAGCAGUGGAAAAAUAGCACACAGGAGAGGUCUGAGGAGAAGACUGUUCCAGACAGCAUGUCAAUACGCAGUCAGGAGAAGCUGGUCCUAUGGCCCCUGACUGCACAUGGGGAAAGUAAACGUACCUCAGAAGGGAAAGCAGAGGCGUCUGACACAUCAGCACAUCAGAGAGAAAAAAAGUCACCGCUCUCCUAGCUAUGAACCGUAAACACAGGUAACUUAAUGUCAGCUGGAAAUAGCCAGUCACCCUGAGCCUCGCUCAGCGCUUGGGAAAACGAUUUCACGCACGUGCCCAUUGGAGAGCAUCCUGACUGAGAACGAGCAGGGGAGAGCAGCCCCCACCCCUCUCAUCGCUGCAUCAGUUGCCACAGCUUCUCCUCCAGCACAGGAAACCUGUUGCACCAUUUUGAGCCUGUUGGUGCUCGAGCCCUGGCGCACCCACGGAGUCAGCGCCAAUGUGACGAGCAUCUUGUCUGUAAGAAGUGAACCAAGAAACCAUGCUGGCAUUUUGCUGCUAGGAAGGAGAGAGUAAAUGAUCCAUAAAGUUUCCAUCAGCAACAGAAAUUGGCAGCCUCUUAAGGCAUCAGUUUAUGGGGCACCGGUGAGAAGUUUAUUGGAAUAUUUUCAUGCAAAAAAAGUCACUUAUAAAGAGGCAAAGAAGGUAAAGAAGCAAGAAGGCUGGAGAUUAGAAUGGGAAGGAAUUCAGCUUUCCGCUCGGCCCACGGAGGCUGCUGCAGAAUGGGAACAUUUUAAUGUUGUUCUUGUUGUUGAUUCCCCAGUGUGGUAAAGUUAUAAAUCUCGA